AAAACGACUCUCGGCAACGGAUAUCUCGGCUCUCGC
rnacentral:rRNA from 1 species